AGGACGAACGCUGGCGGCGCGCUUAACACAUGCAAGUCGAGCGAGAACCGAAGCCUUCGGGCAUCGGGGAAGGCGGCGAACGGGUGAGUAACACGUGAGCAACCUGCCCUUAGCUCUGGGAUAGCUCCGGGAAACCGGAAUUAAUACCGGAUACGACCUAGGCCGACAUCGGCCAUGGUGGAAAGUUUUUCGGCUAGGGAUGGACUCGCGGCCUAUCAGCUAGUUGGUGGGGUAAAGGCCUACCAAGGCGACGACGGGUAGCCGGCCUGAGAGGGCGACCGGCCACACUGGGACUGAGACACGGCCCAGACUCCUACGGGAGGCAGCAGUGGGGAAUCUUGCGCAAUGGGCGAAAGCCUGACGCAGCGACGCCGCGUGGGGGAUGAAGGCCUUCGGGUUGUAAACCCUUUCAGCAGGGACGAAGCGAAAGUGACGGUACCUGCAGAAGAAGCGCCGGCUAACUACGUGCCAGCAGCCGC
rnacentral:rRNA from 1 species